rnacentral:rRNA from 1 species
AACGAACGCUGGCGGCAUGCCUAACACAUGCAAGUCGAACGAGACCUUCGGGACUAGUGGCGCACGGGUGCGUAACGCGUGGGAACCUGCCCUUAGGUUCGGAAUAACUCCCCGAAAGGGGUGCUAAUACCGGAUAAUGUCUUCGGACCAAAGAUUUAUCGCCUUUGGAUGGGCCCUCGUUGGAUUAGCUAGUUGGUAGGGUAAAAGCCUACCAAGGCGACGAUCCAUAGCUGGUCUGUGAGGCUGAUCAGCCACACUGGGACUGAGACACGGCCCAGACUCCUACGCGAGGCAGCAGUGGGGGACAUUGGACAGUGGGCGAAGGCCUGAUCCAGCACUGCCGCGUGAGCGAUGAAGGUCUUGGGGUUGUAAAGCUCUUUUACCCGGGAUGAUAAUGACGGUACCGGGAGAAUAAGCUCCGGCUAACUCCGUG